rnacentral:rRNA from 1 species
UCUAAGUACAUGCCGUAUUAAGGCGAAACCGCGAAUGGCUCAUUAAAUCAGUUAUGGUUCCUUGGAUCGUACCUUACUACUUGGAUAACUGUGGCAAUUCUAGAGCUAAUACAUGCAGCAGAGCUCCGACCUUCGGGGACGAGCGCUUUUAUUAGACCAAAACCAAUCGGACCUCGUGUCCGUACGAUGUGGUGACUCUGUAUAACUUUGGGCUGAUCGCACGGGCCCGUCCCGGCGACGUAUCUUUCAAGUGUCUGCCUUAUCAACUGUCGAUGGUAGGUUACUCGCCUACCAUGGUCGUAACGGGUGACGGGGAAUCAGGGUUCGAUUCCGGAGAGGGAGCCUGAGAAACGGCUACCACAUCCAAGGAAGGCAGCAGGCGCGCAAAUUACCCACUCCCGGAACGGGGAGGUAGUGACGAAAAAUAACAAUACGGGACUCUUUUGAGACCCCGUAAUUGGAAUGAGUACACUCUAAAUCCUUUAACGAGGAUCCAUUGGAGGGCAAGUCUGGUGCCAGCAGCUGCGGUAAUUCCAGCUCCAAUAGCGUAUAUUAAAGUUGUUGCGGUUAAAAAGCUCGUAGUUGGAUCUCAGUUCCAGACGGGUGGUCCGCCUACCGGUGGUCACUGCCCGUUCUGAACAGCCAGCCGGUUUCCCUUGAUGAUCUUCACCGGUUGUCUCGGGUGACCGGCAAGUUUACUUUGAAAAAAUUAGAGUGCUCAAAGCAGGCGUGACGCCUGAAUAAUGGUGCAUGGAAUAAUGGAAUAGGACCUCGGUUCUAUUUUGUUGGUUUUCGGAACACGAGGUAAUGAUUAAGAGGGACAGACGGGGGCAUUCGUAUUGCGACGCUAGAGGUGAAAUUCUUGGACCGUCGCAAGACGAACUACUGCGAAAGCAUUUGCCAAGAAUGUUUCCAUUAAUCAAGAACGAAAGUUAGAGGUUCGAAGGCGAUCAGAUACCGCCCUAGUUCUAACCAUAAACGAUGCCAGCCAGCGAUCCGGCUGUGUUUCUCAAAAUGAACACGCCGGGCAGGUUUCCGGGAAACCAAAGCUUUUGGGUUCCGGGGGAAGUAUGGUUGCAAAGCUGAAACUUAAAGGAAUUGACGGAAGGGCACCACCAGGAAUGGAGCUUGCGGCUUAAUUUGACUCAACACGGGGAAACUUACCCGGCCCGGACACAGGAAGGAUUGACAGAUUAAGAGCUCUUUCUUGAUUCUGUGGGUGGUGGUGCAUGGCCGUUCUUAGUUGGUGGAGUGAUUUGUCUGGUUAAUUCCGAUAACGAACGAGACUCUAGCCUACUAAAUAGACGCUCCGAUCAUUUAUAGUCGGAC